GCUUACGGCCAUACCACCCUGAACAUGCCCGAUCUUGUCAGAUCUCGGAAGCUAAGCAGGGUCGGGCCUGGUUAGUACUUGGAUGGAGACCGCCUGGAAUACCAAGGUGCUGUAAGGU
rnacentral:rRNA from 1 species